rnacentral:tRNA from 1 species
GGGGCAUUAGCUCAGUUGGGAGAGCGCCUGAUUUGCAUUCAGGAGGUCAACAGUUCGACUCUGUUAUGCUCCACCA